ensembl:lncRNA
AAAGAACAUGCAGUACUAGCAGUCAAAUAACAUGUAGUACUAGCAGUAACAGAACAUGUAGUACUAGUAGUAACAGAACAUGUAGUACUAGCAGAAACAGAACAUGUAGUACUAGCAGUAACAUAACAUAUAGUACUAGCAGAAAGAGAACAUGUAGUACUAGUAGCAACAUAACAUAUAGUACUAGCAGAAACAUAACAUAUAGUACUAGCAGAAACAUAACAUAUAGUACUAGUAGUAACAGAACAUGUAGUACUAGUAGCAACAUAACAUAACAUGCAGUACUAGCAGCAACAGUGGACGCAAAUAUUCUCCCCAACUGAAUAUUGGACAAGUUCAAAAUUCCAAGUCAAUCAAAUUGUUGACAGUUAUCCAAAGUAGAUGAAGAAAUGGACAAACAACAGGGGACGUGUCAGAACAUGUCUAAGGGAAUAUGGCUACAAGCAACGACAGCUCACGAGGGUAAAACCAGUAAAUGUGACAUCAAGACGGUAAAUGUAGUCACGGUAACGCAGGGCUGUGUAAAUGUAGUCACGGUAACGCAGGGCUGUGUAUAUGUAGUCACUGUAACGCAGGGCUGUGUAUAUGUAGUCACUGUAACGCAGGACUGUGUAUAUGUAGUCACUGUAACGCAGGACUGUGUAUAUCUAGUCACGGUAACGCGUGUGUCUCUGUGUGUGUGUGUAUUGUUCCUGGUUGUCCGAUUACUUCCUCAGUUCCUGCGGAGGCCCCUCCCCCAAAUGUAGUCCUCCAGACCCCAUAGCUCUACCAUGGCCUUGUCCAGAGUCGCCCUCUCGGACAGCUCAACCACCUGCACAACCAUAGAGGGAACAGAGAGAUGGUGUUAGCUGGAGGAACCUGUCUGUGCUUCUGCUUCGCUUGCUCUUUAGGUUUAGGCUGGGUAACUAUAGAGACCGUUAGGCUGGGUAACUAUAGAGACCUUUAGGCUGGGUAACUAUAGAGACCUUUAGGCUGGGUAACUACAGAGACCUUUGGGUUUAGGCUGGGUAACUAUAGAGACCUUUAGGUUUAGGCUGGGUAACUGUAGAGCUCUUUAGGUUUAGGCUGGGUAAAUGUAGAGCCCAUUAGGUUUAGGGUUAGGGUUAGGGUUAGGCUGGGUAACUAUAGAGACCUUUAGGUUUAGGCUGGGUAACUACAGAGACCUUUAGGUUUAGGCUGGGUAACUAUAGAGACCUUUAGGUUUAGGCUGGGUAACUACAGAGACCUUUAGGUUUAGGCUGGGUAACUAUAGAGACCUUUAGGUUUAGGCUGGGUAACUAUAGAGACCUUUAGGCUGGGUAACUACAGAGACCUUUAGGCUGGGUAACUAUAGAGACCUUUGGGUUUAGGCUGGGUAACUAUAGAGACCUUUAGGUUUAGGCUGGGUAACUAUAGAGACCUUUGGGUUUAGGCUGGGUAACUAUAGAGACCUUUAGGUUUAGGCUGGGUAACUAUAGAGACCUUUAGGUUUAGGCUGGGUAACUACAGAGACCUUUAGGCUGGGUAACUAUAGAGACCUUUAGGUUUAGGCUGGGUAACUAUAGAGACCUUUGGGUUUAGGCUGGGUAACUAUAGAGACCUUUGGGUUUAGGCUGGGUAACUAUAGAGACCUUUAGGUUUAGGCUGGGUGACUAUAGAGACCUUUGGGUUUAGGCUAGGUAACUAUAGAGACCUUUAGGCUGGGUAACUAUAGAGACCUUUAGGUUUAGGCUGGGUAACUAUAGAGACCUUUAGGUUUAGGCUGGGUAACUAUAGAGACCUUUAGGCUGGGUAGCUACAGAGACCUUUAGGUUUAGGCUGGGUAACUAUAGAGACCUUUAGGCUGGGUAACUACAGAGACCUUUGGGUUUAGGCUGGGUAACUAUAGAGACCUUUAGGCUGGGUAACUAUAGAGACCUUUAGGUUUAGGCUGGGUAACUAUAGAGACCUUUAGGCUGGGUAACUAUAGAGACCUUUAGGUUUAGGCUGGGUAACUAUAGAGACCUGUAGGUUUAGGCUGGGUAACUACAGAGACCUUUAGGUUUAGUCUGGGUAACUAUAGAGACCUUUGUGACAAAAAUACUUCUGAUGUAAAAAAAACAAAAGGGCCUUCUAAAAUAAAAAUGGAUUGAUUGAGGAACCUAGAAACAAGCUAUUAAGGCCAGUCCAUGACACGUGCUUGCACAGUGUGUAGCUGUAACACACAGUGAUGUUCUCUGUAGCCCAUCUGGAGUGUUAUUGAUGUGUGAUCACUGGUGAUGAAGAGGUAACGUGGAACCACACCUUUUUACUGGCUGCCUUCAGUCUCUGCAGCUGCAGUAUGGCUGCAUCCUUCGACAGCAGCUCCACAUCUUCCUCUAUCUUAGACUGGGGAAAUAAAACACAAUAAGUUUUAAAAAGAUAUAUUAGGUUGUCGUUCAUUACCUCAUGCUGACCUGUCCCCGUGUGGUUGUUUAAUUGCGGUUGAAGCAUGUUUUAACGUCCUUUUGUGUUUGAUUGUCAGCGCCGUCCUGUGUUUACCUCAUUCACUGGCUUCCCAGCAGCUUCCUGGUUUAGCUUUUCACAGAUGUUUACCUGCAAUCAAUCAAUCAGCCAAUCAAACAAUCAGCCAAUCAAACAAUCAGCCAAUCAAACAAUCAGCCAAUCAAACAUUCGUAUCUAUUAAAAAAAAUGUUUUUCAAACUUGUACUUUGUCAGAUGUUGUCAUAAAUUGCUUUGACAGAUUUAGUGUGAGAGUCUUCUAAACAGACACUAGCUGGGUUACAGAGCAGUGUAACAUAAUCACUGAAACACAAAAAAAGGGGCCACAGGAAAUCCUGUCUGUGUUUGAGUCUCUACCGUCACAGAGAGGUGGUUCAUGCAAUUCACAUAGGAAGUGUCCCCCCAAAACAAAUGGCACCCUAUUUCAUAUAUAGUGCACUACUUUUAACCAGAGCCCUAUGGACCCUGGUCAAAAGUAGUGCACUAUGUAGGGAAUAGGGUGCCAUUUGGGAGGCAGUUCUAAUGUUUGAGACACUUACUGGGUGAACGCAUUCCUUCACUUCAUCCAGCAGGCCUCCGAGGUCAGGAUAAUUUCUGUCUUGUCUCUGGAGAACUUCCCGAUAAAAGUCCAGGAUUUUGAGCAGGACACAGCCGUGGUACUGGACAUGAGAGAGAACAGGAGACAUUGUGUUUUAGUAAAUGUGCUGCCGAGGUCGAGCACGAUGGACAUGGUGUCGAUGGAACUUCUUCAUUGCACUCAUUCGUCUCAGACUCAUGCAGGAUCCCAGAGCGCCAACAGAUCAAUCAAUCAAAUGUAUUUUUUAUGAAGCCCUUUACACAUCAGCAGAUGUCACACAAAGUGUUUUACAGAAACCGGGUGUAAAACCCCGAAGAGCAAAGCUAUGCAGA